UACAGAGGUCUCAAGCGUUGUUCGGAUUUACUGGGCGUAAAGGGCGCGUAGGCGGUCAGCACAAGUCAGUUGUGAAAUCUCCGGGCUUAACUCGGAAAGGUCAACUGAUACUGUGCGGCUAGAGUGCAGAAGGGGCAACUGGAAUUCUUGGUGUAGCGGUGAAAUGCGUAGAUAUCAAGAGGAACACCUGCGGCGAAGGCGGGUUGCUGGGCUGACACUGACGCUGAAGCGCGAAAGCCAGGGGAGCGAACGGG
rnacentral:rRNA from 1 species